GCAAGUCGAACGGAAAGGUCUCUUCGGAGAUACUCGAGUGGCGGACGGCUGAGUAACACGUAGGAAUCUGCCUCUAAGAGGGGGACAACCCAGGGAAACUUGGGCUAAUACCCCAUAUGGCGCGAGCUGAAAUGAUUUUUCGCUUAGAGAUGAGCCUGCGUUUGAUUAGCUAGUUGGUGGGGCAAUAGCCUACCAAGGCAACGAUCAAUAGCUGGUCUGAGAGGAUGAUCAGCCACAAUGGGACUGAGAUACGGCCCAUACUCCUACGGGAGGCAGCAGUGGGGAAUUUUGCGCAAUGGGCGAAAGCCUGACGCAGCAAUACCGUGUGUGGGAAGACGCCCUGUGGGGUGUAAACCACUGUCAGGAGUGAAGAAUUUGACUGUAGCUCCAGAGGAAGCACCGGCUAAUUCCGUGCCAGCAGCCGCGGUAAUACGGAAGGUGCAAGCGUUGUCCGGAUUUAUUGGGCGUAAAGAGUUUGUAGGCGGCUUAGUAAGUCUGAAGUGAAAGAAUGGAGCUCAACUCCAUCCACGCUUUUGAAACUACUAAGCUAGAGAAUGUUAGGGGUGAGUGGAAUUUCCAGUGUAGCGGUGAAAUGCGUAGAUAUUGGAAAGAACACCGGAGGCGAAGGCGGCUCACUGGGACAUUUCUGACGCUGAGAAACGAAAGCUAGGGGAGCGAAAGGGAUUAGAUACCCCUGUAGUCCUAGCCGUAAACGAUGAAUACUAGAUGUCAUGGGAAU
rnacentral:rRNA from 1 species